rnacentral:rRNA from 1 species
AUUGAACGCUGGCGGCAUGCCUUACACAUGCGAGUCGAACGGCAGCACGGGUGCUUGCACCUGGUGGCGAGUGGCGAACGGGUGAGUAAUACAUCGGAACGUACCUUAUCGUGGGGGAUAACGCAGCGAAAGCUGUGCUAAUACCGCAUACGCCCUGAGGGGGAAAGCGGGGGAUCGCAAGACCUCGCGCGAUUAGAGCGGCCGAUGCCUGAUUAGCUUGUUGGUGGGGUAAAAGCCCACCAAGGCGACGAUCAGUAGCCGGUCUGAGAGGACGAUCAGCCACACUGGGACUGAGACACGGCCCAGACUCCUACGGGAGGCAGCAGUGGGGAAUUUUGGACAAUGGGGGCAACCCUGAUCCAGCAAUGCCGCGUGAGUGAAGAAGGCCUUCGGGUUGUAAAGCUCUUUUGUCAGGGAAGAAACACCGGCUCUAACACAGUCCGGGAAUGACGGUACCUGAAGAAUAAGCACCGGCUAACUACGUGCCAGCAGCCGCGGUAA